rnacentral:rRNA from 1 species
AGUGAACGCUGGCGGUAGGCCUAACACAUGCAAGUCGAACGGCAGCACAGUAAGAGCUUGCUCUUACGGGUGGCGAGUGGCGGACGGGUGAGGAAUACAUCGGAAUCUACUUUUUCGUGGGGGAUAACGUAGGGAAACUUACGCUAAUACCGCAUACGACCUACGGGUGAAAGCAGGGGAUCUUCGGACCUUGCGCGAUUGAAUGAGCCGAUGUCGGAUUAGCUAGUUGGCGGGGUAAAGGCCCACCAAGGCGACGAUCCGUAGCUGGUCUGAGAGGAUGAUCAGCCACACUGGAACUGAGACACGGUCCAGACUCCUACGGGAGGCAGCAGUGGGGAAUAUUGGACAAUGGGCGCAAGCCUGAUCCAGCCAUACCGCGUGGGUGAAGAAGGCCUUCGGGUUGUAAAGCCCUUUUGUUGGGAAAGAAAAGCAGCAGGUUAAUACCCCGCUGUUCUGACGGUACCCAAAGAAUAAGCACCGGCAAACUUCGU